rnacentral:rRNA from 1 species
GUGGGGAAUUUUGGACAAUGGGCGAAAGCCUGAUCCAGCCAUGCCGCGUGCAGGAUGAAGGCCUUCGGGUUGUAAACUGCUUUUGUACGGAACGAAAAGACUUCUUCUAAUACAGGAGGUCCAUGACGGUACCGUAAGAAUAAGCACCGGCUAACUACGUGCCAGCAGCCGCGGUAAUACGUAGGGUGCAAGCGUUAAUCGGAAUUACUGGGCGUAAAGCGUGCGCAGGCGGUUAUAUAAGACAGAUGUGAAAUCCCCGGGCUCAACCUGGGAACUGCAUUUGUGACUGUAUAGCUAGAGUACGGUAGAGGGGGAUGGAAUUCCGCGUGUAGCAGUGAAAUGCGUAGAUAUGCGGAGGAACACCGAUGGCGAAGGCAAUCCCCUGGACCUGUACUGACGCUCAUGCACGAAAGCGUGGGGAGCAAACAGGAUUAGAUACCCGGGUAGUCC